rnacentral:rRNA from 1 species
AGCGAACGCUGGCGGCAGGCUUAACACAUGCAAGUCGAACGGGCAUCUUCGGAUGUCAGUGGCAGACGGGUGAGUAACACGUGGGAACGUACCCUUCGGUUCGGAAUAACUCAGGGAAACUUGAGCUAAUACCGGAUACGCCCUUUUGGGGAAAGGUUUACUGCCGAAGGAUCGGCCCGCGUCUGAUUAGCUUGUUGGUGGGGUAACGGCCUACCAAGGCGACGAUCAGUAGCUGGUCUGAGAGGAUGAUCAGCCACACUGGGACUGAGACACGGCCCAGACUCCUACGGGAGGCAGCAGUGGGGAAUAUUGGACAAUGGGCGCAAGCCUGAUCCAGCCAUGCCGCGUGAGUGAUGAAGGCCUUAGGGUUGUAAAGCUCCUUUGUCCGGGACGAUAAUGACGGUACCGGAAGAAUAAGCCCCGGCUAACUUCGUG